AUGAGGGAGAGAUGACAUUGGGAGAGAGGAUGAGGGAGAGGUGACACAGGGAGAGAGGAUGAGGGAGAGAUGACAUAGGGAGAGAGGAUGAGGGAGAGGAUGAGGGAGAGGUGACAUAGGGAGAGAGGAUGAGGAAGAGGCGACAUGGGGAGGGAGGAUGAGAGAGAGGAGAGAUGGGGAGAGAGGAUGAGAGAGAGGAUAAGGCAGAGGUGACAUGGGGAGGGGAGAUGAGGCGGAAGCGACACAGGGAGGGAGGAUGAGGGAGACGAUGAGGGAGAAGUGACAUGGGGAGGGAGGAUGAGGGAGAGGAGAGAUGGGGAGAGAGGAAGAGGGAGAGGAUGAGGGAGAGGAUGAGGAAGAGGCGACACGGGCAGGGAGGAUGAGAGAGAGGAUGAGGGAGAGGCAACAUGGGGAGGGAGGAUGAGGGAGAGGUAACACGGAGAGGCUGAGGGAGAUGUGACAUGGGGAGGGAUGAUGAGGGAGAGGCGACACAGGGAGAUGGCUGAGUACUCCCGGAACUGAGGCAAGCUGUGGGCCCCCAGUGGACGAGCUCUGUGUGCUCCCAGUAAGAAGACAGUUGACUGGCUGUGCAAGGACGUGUGGUGGGGAAGUUCCUGGAAGGCAGCUGGGAGAUGGGAGUUUUCAGUCCAGCUCCGGCACCCAGUUGCCCCGAGUCCUCUUCCUGUCUCAAGUGAGAGGGCUGAUCUGGACUUGGCUGAUCUGGGGUUGUUAUGAAACUAGCUUUCUCAGGAGACGAUGCAUUCAUUAUAAAGAGAAGACACUCU
rnacentral:lncRNA from 1 species